rnacentral:rRNA from 1 species
AUUGAACGCUGGCGGCAGGCUUAACACAUGCAAGUCGAGCGGGGUGAUGGUGCUUGCACUAUCACUUAGCGGCGGACGGGUGAGUAAUGCUUAGGAUUCUGCCUAUUAGUGGGGGACAACAUCUCGAAAGGGAUGCUAAUACCGAAUAGGUCCUACGGGAGAAAGCAGGGGAUCACUUGCGACCUUGCGCGAAUAGAUGAGCCUAGGUCGGAUUAGCUAGUUGGUGGGGUAAAGGCCUAACAAGGCGACGAUGUGUAGCGGGUCUGAGAGGAUGAUCCGCCACACUGGGACUGAGACACGGCCCAGACUCCUACGGGAGGCAGCAGUGUGAAUAUUGGACAAUGGGGGGAACCCUGAUCCAGCCAUGCCGCGUGUGUGAAGAAGGCCUUAUGGUUGUAAAGCACUUUAAGCGAGGAGGAGGCUCUUUUGGUUAAUACCCAAGAUGAGUUGACGUUACUCGCAGAAUAAGCACCGGCUAACUCUGUGCCAGCCGCCGCAGUAA